rnacentral:rRNA from 1 species
ACGAACGCUGGCGGCGUGCUUAACACAUGCAAGUCGAACGGAAAGGCCCUGCUUUUGUGGGGUGCCCGAGUGGCGAACGGGUGAGUAACACGUGAGUAACCUGCCCUUGACUUUGGGAUAACUUCAGGAAACUGGGGCUAAUACCGGAUAGGAGCUCCUGCUGCAUGGUGGGGGUUGGAAAGUUUCGGCGGUUGGGGAUGGACUCGCGGCUUAUCAGCUUGUUGGUGGGGUAGUGGCUUACCAAGGCUUUGACGGGUAGCCGGCCUGAGAGGGUGACCGACCACAUUGGGACUGAGAUACGGCCCAGACUCCUACGGGAGGCAGCAGUGGGGAAUAUUGCACAAUGGGCGGAAGCCUGAUGCAGCAACGCCGCGUGCGGGAUGACGGCCUUCGGGUUGUAAACCGCUUUCGCCUGUGACGAAGCGUGAGUGACGGUAAUGGGUAAAGAAGCACCGGCUAACUACGUG